UCCAGUCUGCUCACUGAUAAUUUAAAGAGCCGCAGUAUAUUGACUGUGCAAAGGUAGCAUAAUCAAUAGUUUUUUAAUUGAAAACUUGUAUGAAAGAUUAGACGAGAAAUCUAUUUUCUUUAUUUUAUAUAAUUAAAUUUUAAUUUUAAGUGAAAAUGCUUAAUUAAAUUUAAAAGACGAGAAGACCCUAUAGAUUUUUAUUAUUUAAAUAAAUUUAAUAAAAAAAUUUAGUAAAAUAAUUUCAUUGGGGUGAUUUUGUAAUAAAAUAAACUUAAUUUUUUUUUAACCAAAAAUAAUUGAAACUUUUGAUCUAAAAUUUUUAAAGAAAAGAUUAAAUUACCUUAGGGAUAACAGCGUAAUUUUUUUUAAGAGUUCAUAUCUAUAAAAAAGUUUGCGACCUCGAUGUUGAAUUAAGAUAAUAUAUUGAAGUAG
rnacentral:rRNA from 1 species